GGUUCGAUCAUGGCUCAGAUUGAACGCUGGCAGGAUACUUGCUUACACAUGCAAGUCGAACAGCACGGACUUCGGUCUGGUGGCGAGUGGCGAACGGGUGGCAGGUAAUGUAUCGGAACGUGCCUAGUAGCGGGGAUAACUACGCGAAAGCGUAGCUAAUACCGCAUACGCCCUUCGGGGGAGAAAGCGGGGACCUUCGGGCCUCGCACUAGAGCGGCCGAUAUCGGAUUAGCUAGUUGGUGGGGUAACGGCUCACCAGGCGACGAUCCGUAGCUGGUUUCGAGAGGACGACCAGCCACACUGGGACUACAGAGACACGGCCCAGACUCCUACGGGAGGCAGCAGUGGGGAAUUUUGGACAAUGGGGGAAACCUGAUCCAGCCAUCCCGCGUGUGCGAUGAAGGCCUUCGGGUUGUAAAGCACUUUUGGCAGGAAAAACGGCACGGGAUAAUACCCCGUGCAACUGACAGUACCUGCAGAAUAAGCACCGGCUAACUACAUGCAAAAGCAGCCGCGGUAAUACGUAGGGUGCAAGCGUUAAUCAGAAUUACUGGGCGUAAAGCGUGCGCAGGCGGUUCGGAAAGAAGAUGCUUAAAUCCAGAGCUUAACUUUGGAACUGCAUUUUUAACUACCGAGCUAGAGUGUGUCAGAGGGAGGUGGAAUUCCGCGUGUAGCAGUGAAAUGCGUAGAUAUGCGGAAGAGGAACACCGAUGGCGAAGAGCAACCUCCGGAUAACACUGACGCUCAUGCACGAAAGCGUGGGGAGCAAACAGGAUUAGAUACCCUGGUAGUCCACGCCCUAACGAUGUCAACUAGCUGUUGGGGCCUUCGGGCCUUGGUAGCGCAACUAACGCGUGAAGUUGACCGCCUGGGAAAUUACGGUCGCAAGAUUAAAACUCAAAGAAAUUGACGGGGACCCGCACAAGCGGUGGAUGAUGUGGAUUAAUUCGAUGCAACGCGAAAAGGCCUUACCUACCCUUGACAUGUCUGGAAUCCCGAAGAGAUUUGGGAGUGCUCGCAAAGGGCGAACACAGGUGCUGCAUGGCUGUCGUGAAGCUCGUGUCGUGAGAUGUUGGAUUACGAUCCGCAACGAGCGCAGCCCUUGUCAUUAGUUGCUACGAAGGGCCUCUAAUGAGACUGCCGGUGACAAACCGGAGGAAGGUGGGGAUGACGUCAAGUCCUCAUGGCCCUUAUGGGUAGGGCUUCACGUCAUACAAUGGUCGGGACAGAGGGUCGCCAACCCGCGAGGAGCCAAUCCCAGAAACCCGAUCAACAGUCAGAUGCCAGUCUGCAACUCGACUGCGUGAAGUCGGAAUCGCUAGUAAUCGCGGAUCAGCAUGUCGCGGUGAAUACGUUCCCGGGUCUUGUAUACACACCGCCCGUCACACCAUGGGAGUGGGUUUUACCGAAGUAGUUAGCUAACCGCCGAGCGAUUACACAGUAGGAUUCAUGACUGGGGGUGAAGUCGCUAAGGUAA
rnacentral:rRNA from 1 species